UACGUAGGUGACCAGCGUUGUCCGGAUUUACUGGGCGUAAAGAGCGCGCAGGCGGUCGUUCAAGUCGAGUGUGAAAGCCCCCGGCUCAACUGGGGAGGGUCACUUGAUACUGAUCGACUUGAAGGCAGUAGAGGAGAACGGAAUUCCCGGUGUAGCGGUGAAAUGCGCAGAUAUCGGGAGGAACACCAGUAGCGAAGGCGGUUCUCUGGGCCGGCACUGACGCUGAGGAGCGAAAGCGUGGGGAGCAAACAGG
rnacentral:rRNA from 1 species